ensembl:snoRNA
GAGGUGUGCUCAUAGCAGGUGGUCUAAAGAAUGGUUUCUGUGUUUACAACACACCCAAUGGGGAUUCAGGGUCCCUGUGACAAGGCACACAAAACUGUGACUUCCCUUGGAGCAAACGUCCUGCCCUU